CGGUUAAGUGAAUAAGGGCGUACGGUGAAUGCCUUGGCACUAGGAGCCGAUGAAGGACGGGACGAACACCGAUAUGCUUCGGGGAGCUGUAAGUAAGCUUUGAUCCGGAGAUUUCCGAAUGGGGGAACCCCAUCAUCUUGAUCGAUGAUGACUUUCAAGUGAAUACAUAGCUUGUUAGAGGUAGACGCAGGGAACUGAAACAUCUCAGUACCUGUAGGAAGAGAAAGAAAAAUCGAUUUCCUGAGUAGCGGCGAGCGAAACGGAAAGAGCCCAAACCAAAGAGCUUGCUCUUUGGGGUUGUAGGACUGGGACCUAUGAUUUAGGCGGGUUAGUCGAAUGGCAUGGGAAGGCCAAUCAGAGAAGGUGAGAAUCCUGUAGACGAAAACCCAACUAACAUUACCAGUAUCCUGAGUACGACGGACCACGUGAAAUUCCGUCGGAAUCCGCCGGGACCAUCCGGCAAGGCUAAAUACUCCCUAGUGACCGAUAGUGAACCAGUACCGUGAGGGAAAGGUGAAAAGCACCCCGGGAGGGGAGUGAAAGAGUACCUGAAACCGUAUGCCUACAAGCAGUCAGAGCCCGUUAAUGGGUGAUGGCGUACUUUUUGUAGAACGGACCGGCGAGUUACGAUAGCAUGCAAGGUUAAGACGAAGAGUCGGAGCCACAGCGAAAGCGAGUCUGAAGUGGGCGUUGAGUAUGUUGUCGUAGACCCGAAACCAGGUGAUCUACCCAUGUCCAGGCUGAAGGUGCGGUAAAACGCACUGGAGGGCCGAACCCACGUCUGUUGAAAAAGGCGGGGAUGAGGUGUGGGUAGCGGUGAAAUUCCAAUCGAACCUGGAGAUAGCUGGUUCUCUCCGAAAUAGCUUUAGGGCUAGCCUCGGAUGAUGAAUAUUGGAGGUAGAGCACUGUUUGUUCUAGGGGUCCAACAAGGAUUACCGAAAACUGAUAAACUCCGAAUGCCAAAUAUUUUAAUCCGGGAGUCACACUGCGAGUGAUAAGAUCCGUAGUGGAAAGGGAAACAGCCCAGACCACCAGCUAAGGUCCCAAAGUUUCAGUUAAGUGGAAAAGGAUGUGGGGUUGCACAGACAACUAGGAUGUUGGCUUAGAAGCAGCCAUCAUUCAAAGAGUGCGUAAUAGCUCACUAGUCGAGUGACCCUGCGCCGAAAAUGUACCGGGGCUAAACUGAAC
rnacentral:rRNA from 1 species